AUUACCUUUGUUCAGGAUGUUUGCUUUUUCUUUAUGUUAUUUGAUGGUUUGUGGAAUACCUUUGGUCUACAGUCAUGCAGGUAUGUGUUAUGUAUCUUCUCGUUAAGCAAAGCCGUUUCCUUUUGCGAAACUAUAUAUAUUUAAAUUUCUUAUUGUUUUGUUUACUUUGGGUAUUCUUUUCGUCAUGUAUUUCGACACAAACAUCUUUACCCCUGGCAAAUUGUUGCGCAUGUCUCAAGUCAGGAACCUGUAGCUUUUGUUUAUUUUGGUCAAUCAAUUUAUUUCAGGAAUAAGUGCGGAUCCAUUUUGCUGAAGUACUAUACUUUAUGUUUGUGGGAUAGCUAAAAACCCGCCUUCAGGUGCUGCAUUUUUUCGCUGCAUUGGGAGUCGGCAUCCUCUGGUGUGUUCUAGAUUUGCUCUUUAGUCGUAGGUUUGUCCCUUGACACAUUCACCGUUUCUGUUUUCUUUUCUAUUCUUGUGUACAAGAGUAAUUGUUUAUACUAAUAUUGUCAUAUUUGCUUUUUUAGUGGGGUUCGUGUUGUUUAUUUCUUUAGUUUUCUUUGUUGUGUCAUGUGCACUAUUGUUUGUCUGUUUGCCUUUUUCAUUUUUAGCCAUGGCGUUGUCAGUUUAUUUUCGAUUUGUGAGUUUGACUGUCCCUCUGGUAUCUUUCGUUCCUCUCUUACUGUGGUUUCAUUUCAGCAUAAUACAUACAAUAUAAAUAUUAUAUAAUAUAGAUAUAGGAAGAUGUGCAAUUAGUGCCAAUGAGACAACUCUCCAUCCAAGUCGAGAUUUAUAAAGAUAAACCAUUAUAGGUCAAGAUACGGUCUUCAGCACGGAGCCUAAUCUCACACAUAAGCUUUAAAAGGCCCCAAAGGGUUACUAGUGUAAAACCAUUCAAUUGGGAAAACCAACGUUCUAAUCUAUAUAAAAAUUGUUUUAAUUUGUUUUUUACCAGUUAUUAUCUUCAUUGUAUGCAGGUCAUUUGACAUAUUGUAUUGAAACAACUUCUGUUAUAGUUAUUUUUACCAACAGAAGCAUGCAGUUAUCCUUACCGUAAAGUUGGAAAGAAUUGUUACCUUAUAAAUCAAGAAAAAGUGACAACAGAUACUGCAUUUGUAUGUUAAAUCUAAGCGUGUAGCAGAUUAAUAUUAAAAUAUCAAUUAAAUGAACUGGUUUUUCCUAUCUGUAAUACUAAAAUAACGAGGUCCAAUUUGUCAGCCGUCAUGGGGUAAAAACGACAAAUAUAAGAAUUCAAUUUUCUAUAUAGCCGAUAUAGGAUAAUGGUAUUUAUCACAGGGUUGACACUACUAAAUUCAACCAUUGUCAAGCUAUUCCCUUAUUGUAGUAUUUGAAUCAAUUAGACUUUCUAAGAUGACAAUACGAAUACUUAAAAUCUGGACUAAAAAGGCGCAUAGGUACAGUUUUCAAUAUGUUAACGGGCAUUAUAUAAACCAGCGAUUCAAAGAAUUCAACUUUAUUCAUAACUAAAUACUGUUGAUUAAAAAAUACUCCAUUCCAGGACCUUUUGUGUUCAAAAUAAUCAAUAUAACCAGUUCCAGCUCCAUGGGUUCAAACAGAAAGAUUUUGAAACCAGAGAAAACUGUGCGUCUUAUAAUCGGCAUGAUUUUAUCAGAUGACAAUUCAAAUACUAAAAUAAGGCUUACGCAUAGUUAUAUCCUUUAAUUCAGUCACGGACCCGCGAAUUUACGGGUGUGGUCUAGUAUAUAUUUAAAAAAAUUCUACUUAUCCAUUUCAAAAUACAUUUUCAAUGAACGAUAGAUAAUGUCUCUAUUUGAUGAAACAUAGAUCAUAUCUGAGAACCUUAACAAACUAACAUAUUUAUGAAAAUUAUAUAUAUUCCGCAAGAGGCAUUGCUUGUCUAACAAAUAUUUGAACAGAGGGUGAGGAUACAAAAAAACUUUCAAAACCCACAAGUCGAAGAAAAAUGAGCAAGACAAAAAAAAAUACAAUCCUCAACAUAUCUUAAAUAAAGAGAACGGAGUUUAUAUGAAUAACAUAAAAAUAAAUGUACAGUUACUUUACAGUAAUUUAGAGUAUUUAUACAUGUUAUAAUGAAUCUGCUAUGUGAAAAUAAUUGGUAAAAUUAAAUUUGAUAUUCUAGGCAAUAAGCAUAAGACAUGGUGCAUACUUAGCCAAUUUUGAGACGUUAGAAGAAUUGCUGUUGAUGAAAUACGAAUUGAAGAAAAUAAAUACUGGUAUUAAAUUU
rnacentral:lncRNA from 1 species